rnacentral:lncRNA from 1 species
AUGUUGAACUCAACUUUGGAGCGUUCUUUGUCUUGCAUGGCCUUCCACUCAUCCAGUGUCAUCUCUUUAGGACCUUCCUCCUUCACCUCCUCUGCUUCAUUCUCCCUACACACACACACACACACACACAUCCGAUGGCAUGCUCUCUGCACAUCUAGUCAAGAGAUACUGAGCUCCUCUGUUAUUCUGAACAGAAAUCUCUUUGACUCACUUGUUUUCGGAGUCAGCAGGGGCGUGAUCUUCUCCUUCAGGAACAGGCUCCGGUGCUGCAGACUGAUCAAGCUCACUGUCAAAUCAGACAGCAUUAUUAUUUUAGAACCAGCCCACCAUGUCUUUCAAUCUCAGGUGCUAUUCAUGUCCAGAACACAAGCGGUUUGGGACAAGUUGCAUGUCAUGGUUUAAUACAUAAGUUAAUCCCAAGUAUAAAUAAUAAUAAUGCUUGCCAUAUCAAGCACCACUAAUUAGAAUUAACAAGAAUCCAAUAUUUUAGACCACCUGCUAUAUUUCUGUAUCACACAUUCAGGGUUUCUGCAGGUUUUAUGAAGGUAAUGUUUUCUUUUUUUAAACACCUGUUUAAGACCAAGUAAAGAAAAGUUUAUUUAGUAAUAAACUGAAGGGAACACAAUACGAAAAGUUCUUCUCUAAAUGUAAAUGUUUAGGGAGCAAACAAUGAUUUCUAUUAGCAACACUUUAAAGUUUAGAAACAUAGUUUCCAACAGAUCUCAUUACUUUUUAAUUAAUUUCACAAUUUAUUAAAAAAAAAAAGUCGCCAAAGGGCUCAGAAAACUCGACUUAAUUCAAAAGAGAUGUUUUCAUUCCUCAUUGACAAGAUGUUCAUUCUUAUUUUAAAAAUAAACUUAAUGUAAAAUUUUUCAUAGUAAACAUUCUCAUGUCUUCAUUUUGCAUCUGAAGUAAUUAACUUUAAGCAAUGCACAUGACAUUUAAUUCCACGACAAUGAAUUUAAGACUAUCAGCUCUUACGAUCUUUGCGAGGCCUUCAUUUGUGAAUGAUGAUGAAUACUUUCUAAGAAUAGCAGAAACCCUGACAUCUGUCAAACACGACAUGCCAACCUCCCAACAACCCUUAAAUAUUUCACAUUCACACUCGUACCUGGCUUCUUCCUUCACAUUGCCCCAGUUGUGCAAGCCGCUCCCACCACGCUUCUCCUCUCCUGGGGAAAACUUCAAUUAGCUGCAUUCUUGAAAGAUGUUCUUUGCCUUAAUGCUUCUAGCAAAGAACUUAAAUUACAUGUAAAUAACGAGUCUCAAUUAAAAAAAAAGGGAAGGACAAGCCUUGGCCAAUUAUCCCGGCCCGCGGAGUCUCUUGGGUUGAGAGAGCAGUGGAACUCUGCUGGCUGAAUGCUACACAUUAGCUCAUUGGCUUUUGAACACACAAUAAGCAGAAAGCCCUCAAGUCAUUAGUAGGGAGCUCUCCAUUUCCCUUCUUC